rnacentral:rRNA from 1 species
AUUGAACGCUGGCGGCAUGCCUUACACAUGCAAGUCGAACGGCAGCACGGGUGCUUGCACCUGGUGGCGAGUGGCGAACGGGUGAGUAAUACAUCGGAACAUGUCCUGUAGUGGGGGAUAGCCCGGCGAAAGCCGGAUUAAUACCGCAUACGAUCUACGGAUGAAAGCGGGGGACCUUCGGGCCUCGCGCUAUAGGGUUGGCCGGUGGCUGAUUAGCUAGUUGGUGGGGUAAAGGCCUACCAAGGCGACGAUCAGUAGCUGGUCUGAGAGGACGACCAGCCACACUGGGACUGAGACACGGCCCAGACUCCUACGGGAGGCAGCAGUGGGGAAUUUUGGACAAUGGGCGAAAGCCUGAUCCAGCAAUGCCGCGUGUGUGAAGAAGGCCUUCGGGUUGUAAAGCACUUUUGUCCGGAAAGAAAUCCUUGGCACUAAUACGGUCGGGGGAUGACGGUACCGGAAGAAUAAGCACCGGCUAACUACGUG